rnacentral:rRNA from 1 species
GACGAACGCUGGCGGCGUGCUUAACACAUGCAGGUCGAACGAUGAAGCGGUGCUUGCACCGUGGAUUAGUGGCGAACGGGUGAGUAACACGUGAGUAACCUGCCCCCUUCUUUGGGAUAAGCAUUGGAAACGGUGUCUAAUACUGGAUAUUCAUGCAUGGCCGCAUGGUUGUGUGUGGAAAGGUUUUUUCUGGUGGGGGAUGGGCUCGCGGCCUAUCAGCUUGUUGGUGGGGUGAUGGCCUACCAAGGCUUUGACGGGUAGCCGGCCUGAGAGGGUGACCGGUCACACUGGGACUGAGAUACGGCCCAGACUCCUACGGGAGGCAGCAGUGGGGAAUAUUGCACAAUGGGCGAAAGCCUGAUGCAGCGACGCCGCGUGAGGGAUGACGGCCUUCGGAUUGUAAACCUCUUUCAGUAAGGACGCAGGGCAAUCUUUGGGUUGUUUGACGGUACUUGCAGAAGAAGCGCCGGCUAACUACGUGCCAGCAGCCGCGGUAAUACGUAGGGCGCAAGCGUUGCCCGGAAUUAUUGGGCGUAAAGGGCUUGUAGGCGGCGUGUCGCGUCUGUCGUAAAAACCAAUGGCUUAACUGUUGGCUUGCGGUGGGUACGGGCAUGCUUGAGUGCGGUAGGGGAGACUGGAAUUCCUGGUGUAGCGGUGGAAUGCGCAGAUAUCAGGAGGAACACCGGUGGCGAAGGCGGGUCUCUGGGCCGUUACUGACGCUGAGGAGCGAAAGCGUGGGGAGCGAACAGG